rnacentral:rRNA from 1 species
AGUGAACGCUGGCGGUAGGCCUAACACAUGCGAGUCGAACGGCAGCACAGUAAGAGCUUGCUCUUACGGGUGGCGAGUGGCGGACGGGUGAGGAAUACAUCGGAAUCUACUUUUUCGUGGGGGAUAACGUAGGGAAACUUACGCUAAUACCGCAUACGACCUACGGGUGAAAGCAGGGGAUCUUCGGACCUUGCGCGAUUGAAUGAGCCGAUGUCGGAUUAGCUAGUUGGCGGGGUAAAGGCCCACCAAGGCGACGAUCCGUAGCUGGUCUGAGAGGAUGAUCAGCCACACUGGAACUGAGACACGGUCCAGACUCCUACGGGAGGCAGCAGUGGGGAAUAUUGGACAAUGGGCGCAAGCCUGAUCCAGCCAUACCGCGUGGGUGAAGAAGGCCUUCGGGUUGUAAAGCCCUUUUGUUAGGAAAGAAAAGCAGCAGGUUAAUACCCCGCUGUUCUGACGGUACCCAAAGAAUAAGCACCGGCUAACUUCGUG